rnacentral:tRNA from 1 species
ACCUGGGUGGCUCACUGGGUUGAGUGCCUGACUUUGGCUCAGGUCAUGAUCUCACAGUUCAUGGGUUUGAGCCCCAUGCCAGGCU